UAUGGGAUCAAAUACGAUCCCAUUUACAUGUGGACAGAUGCUUGUGAGAUGCCACUCAACAUCUGAAUAUCCAUUUCAUAGAUCCAACACAAAGUAAAUUUUGGGCUAUUUAUGUUAGCUUGUUUGUACAUGCACAUGGGUCAUGAUACAUUUGUCCAAAUCAAGGCGAUUUCUCACACUCACACUCCAACUAUGGAUGGUGAGACACUUGAUGGUGAUGCUCUGUCUACUUUCUAGAUUCAUGGGAGCAGCAGAUACAUUUCCUUCCAUAUGAGUGUUGCCGACACUUUCCUCUCUGCAAUAAACAAAGAUACAGAGGGUAAAAAUACAGCACAUAAGCUGGCUAGAUUUGGACUCUGGAGGAAGACUAAAUGCAAUAGGUUAGCAGUUGGCUUAAGAUCUGCAUCUCUCUCACCCAACAAUUACCAGGCAGCUUCCAUAUGCAGUUCAACUACGGAUCUGGAGUUCAAGUCUAGGAGAGAAAAAUACCUAAUCAAUUCCCAGCUAGUAUACAUUACUUUUGUGAUUUCUGUUAGUGGACAGUCAAGAGGCAAUACAAGUAACAUGUUCUUAA